UUCUGGUUGGAUCCUGCCGGAGGCUACCGCUAUUGGAGUUCGAUUAAGCCAUGCGAGUCGAGAGUCUUAGGGACUCGGCGUACCGCUCAGUAACACGUGGGUAACCUGCCCUAUGCUGGGGAAUAACCUCGGGAAACUGAGAAUAAUACCCCAUAGUUCACCACGCCUGGAACGGUGGGUGGAUGAAAGCUCCGGCGGCAUAGGAUGGGCCUGCGACGUAUCAGGUUGUAGGGGGUGUAACGUACCCUCUAGCCAUCAACGCGUACGGGUGUUGGGAGACAUAGCCCGGAGAUGGAUUCUGAGACACGAAUCCAGACCCUACGGGGUGCAGCAGGCGCGAAAACUUGGCAAUGCGAGCAAUCGUGACCAGGGAACUCCAAGUGGCUGGGGUAAUACCCAGUUUUUUCUUGACUCUUCAAAGGUCUUGGAAUAAGGGGUGGGUAAGGACGGUGCCAGCCGCCGCGGUAAUACCGGCGCCUCAAGUGGUAGUCGCUUUUAUUGGGCCUAAAACGUCCGUAGCCGGUCUGGUGCAUUCGUGGGUAAAUCAACCCGCUCAACGGGUUGAAUUCUGCGAGCACGGCCAGACUUGGGACCGGGAGAGGUGUGGGGUACUCUCAGGGUAGGGGUAAAAUCCUGUCAUCCUGAGAGGACCACCUGUU
rnacentral:rRNA from 1 species